CCGCCCGUGCGAGGCCGACGCCCUCCGUGCCCCCCCCUACGCCAACGUGUCGUCGCUGGAGGACGUGGUGACCCCCCGCUUCCUGUGCUCGGGGGGCACCGAGCCCCAGGUGGACGACAACGCCUGCCCCGGCGACUCCGGGGGCCCCGUCGUUGUCACGUGGGGGAAGCGCCACUUCCAGGUGGGCGUGGUCAGCUGGGGCGUGGUCUCCGUGUGCCACCAGCGCCAGGCCCCGUCCUACGCCCGCGACUUCCACGUGAGCCUGUUCGAGGUGCUGCCCUGGCUCAGGGAGAAGCUGGAGGACGAGGACCUGGGCUUCCUGCCCUGAGCCCCGGGGACACCCUGGGACACGCCAGGACACGCCAGAACAUGCCAAGACAUGCCAGGACAUGCCAGGACACACCACGGCCACGCGACCCCACAGGGGUGGGACGUGGGUGGGGGGAUCAGAGGGGGUUGUGGGGACGAUUUCAGGGGUCCCUCUGGGUCUGGGGGGGUCCCAAUCUCUCCCUCAGAUGACAAUAAACG